AUUAAUAGAUAUAUUCUUUAAAUUUGAAGAAUUUGGCGGUGGUUUAAUCUUAUUAGAGGAACCUGUUUUUGAAUCGAUACACCACGUUAUAUUUUACUCAUUUUAUUUAGUUUAUAUACCGUCAUUAUUAGAUGAUUUUUAAAGAAUAUAAUCAUUAAAAUUUAUAGUCAAUGGUAAUUAGUAAAUUAAAUUAGAUCAAGGUGUAGCCUAUAAAUGAGUUAAAAUGGGUUACAAUAAAAUAUAUUUAUACGGAUUAAUAUAGGAAGCGAUAUUAUAAAGGAGGAUUUAAUUGUAAUAUAAGUUAAAUGAACUUGAAAGAUAUUGGCUCUAAAUCAU
rnacentral:rRNA from 1 species